AGAAUUGAUCUGGUUCAGGAUGAACGCUAGCUACAGGCUUAACACAUGCAAGUCGAGGGGCAGCAUUAUCGAAGCUUGCUUGAUAGAUGGCGACCGGCGCACGGGUGAGUAACGCGUAUCCAACCUUCCCAUCACUCAGGGAUAGCCCGCCGAAAGGCGAAUUAAUACCUGAUGGUCUCCUUUGCGGACAUCUAACGAGGAGUAAAGAUUCAUUGGUGAUGGAUGGGGAUGCGUCUGAUUAGGUAGUAGGCGGGGUAACGGCCCACCUAGCCGACGAUCAGUAGGGGUUCUGAGAGGAAGGUCCCCCACAUUGGAACUGAGACACGGUCCAAACUCCUACGGGAGGCAGCAGUGAGGAAUAUUGGUCAAUGGACGGAAGUCUGAACCAGCCAAGUAGCGUGCAGGAUGACGGCCCUAUGGGUUGUAAACUGCUUUUGUGCGGGAAUAAAGUAUGGGACGUGUCCCGUUUUGCAUGUACCGCACGAAUAAGGACCGGCUAAUUCCGUGCCAGCCGCGGC
rnacentral:rRNA from 1 species